rnacentral:rRNA from 1 species
UACGGGGGGGGCAAGCGUUGUUCGGAAUUACUGGGCGUAAAGGGCUCGUAGGCGGCCAACUAAGUCAGACGUGAAAUCCCUCGGCUUAACCGGGGAACUGCGUCUGAUACUGGAUGGCUUGAGUUUGGGAGAGGGAUGCGGAAUUCCAGGUGUAGCGGUGAAAUGCGUAGAUAUCUGGAGGAACACCGGUGGCGAAGGCGGCAUCCUGGACCAACACUGACGCUGAGGCACGAAGGCCAGGGGAGCAAACGGG